CACAGCAAAGACUCCAGCAAGGGUCCGCCGGUGCCUCAAAACACGGAAACUUCCUGUCCCGCCCCUCCGCCCGUAACCUAGCAAUCCUCGUCCGCAACGCCAUCAAAAGCGACGGAACAACCCCUCGGCGGGCUGCUUUGAGUCAGAAGAGAAAUUCGGCUCAAAAAUAAUGUAGUAGCAUUCGCCUGAUGCAAGCCAGAUAGAGAAGAAGCACAAGACUAUUUUGUCUAGUUUAAAUUCCAGUUUCCAUUAAAAAAGAGAUUUGAUUAUUAA